ACUUACAUGGAGAGGAUGGGUGCGACUGAAUCCAGGGAGGCGAUGAUGAUGCCAAUCUCACAGAUGCUGGCUGUGAGCAGGAGGGCCCAGGUGGGCUCUCCAUUUUCUUUGCCAUGGCCAAACACCUGCAGCAGCAUCAAAUCAUAUCCAACUUUAUUGGUAUUAUUUACAUUUUCGAUUUGGGCCAUGCAUAUAAUGUGCCAGAACACAUGGACAAACACAGAAUGUCAUUGAUUUGUUGAAUACACUGGAGACUGUUUUCUCCAAGCUAAACGUAGCCUCAAGUGAACAAAUAAAGCCUCUAGCUAAGGCUGAUGCAACAUAUGAUUGAGAAAUAUACUUCUGUUUUAUAGGCAGACAUGUUUUUAAUGUUACCGAACCAUUCUUCUUCAAACCUGAAUAAAAGAUUAGUUUUAAGAAAAUAAAACAUUCCUGUUAAUUCACAAAAUGUAUCAUCCACCUUCAAAAUCAAAUGAAACUCUACAGUCCAUUGAGUAAUGCAUGAUCUACUCUUUAUAAACAUAUCUAUUCUCUCCCGUUUAAUAAUAAUGUUUGUUUCUGCAGCUCAGGGCGACAAAUUUCUGCUUUUAUAGAUGAAUCUGAACUCUACUCACUCUGAGAAAUGGGAUGAUGCCGUCCCUUGAGAUGGCCUGCAGCAGACGUGGAGCUCCCGUCAGACUCUGGAGUCCAGCUCCGCACGUGGAAAAGAAGGAGCCAAUCACAAUGACCCACGGAGACGGCCACGCCAGCGUACCAAUCACCAGGUCUGGGCUCGGUGAAGGAUACACACAGUAGAAGUGGUGGUGAUGGCUGCGAUGGUGCCGAUGGGAAUCGACUUCUGAGCAUCACGCAGGUCGCCGGAGCGGUUGGAGCCGGCCAUGAUGCCUGAGAGCGUAGGGACAUGAAUCAUCAGGAGGCUCUUAGCUUUUGAUUUAUUUUUGUCUUUGAAGAAUAAACCCUGAGGAACUCUUAUUCCACCGUUGAGAACCCAAACGUUUCAUGCUUUGCUCUGGGGACUCAGAGCAACAGCUGCUCAACAUUAAAAAAGAACGAUGAGGUGUCAGAGGUGAGAGGGUCGGUCGUAAAAGAUGGAGCGAGGCCGCUCUGGAAUUUAUCAACUGUCAAACUUUAGAUUUAGGGGGAAAGGAAGCUGCAAUCUGCAACUUUACCUGCAGAUGUCACCAAAUCCUUUCAGAGGGCCUGUGUGAUGCUAACCUGUGACAGAUGGGAAGUAUAUCCCCACCAGCAGGGUGAAGAAGCUACUGAUGUCAGCCAGGACGUAGCGGUUCGAGGUGGUGGUGGGACUGUCCGGAUCCGCAUCUGAGACAAGGCCGCGCUUUUCCAGGAAAACCCCUUUUUCUAGCCAGGAUGCCGCUCGUGACCCCCGGGAUGCCCUGUAUCUCGGUGACGUUGUUGUUGAGGAAGUAUUCAUCACACGUGGCAUUGAGGGAGUCGGAAUCACAGAAGGACCUCCACAGUUUGGUGGUGAAAGUUUCAUUGUCAAUUUCAAUGACCUUUGCACACACGUCGUAUCCUUUGGAGAGAAGGGUUCGAUUCCCCAGCAGGCAGACGCUGCAAAGAAAGUCAACAAAAGCAUCCUUGACAUAACGCUGUUAAGUAGAUGAUGGAGAAGUUUUUCCCUUAGUACAGCGUUUACUACAUCGAGCAAAUGGACAUUAAGAUUUAUUUAUCCCAAACACAUGCACAGACACACUCAUGCAAUUGUAGGGAAAUGUAACCUCUGCUUUUGACCCAUCUGGUGCAGGACACACAGAGCAGUGUGCAACCAUAUACUGCGCCCGGGGAGCAGAUGUUGGGGGAGUAAGGUGCCUUGCUCAGGGGCACUAGACAGGGUAGGGAGAAUCUUCUUGGAUUUUUGGACAGAUCAAUCCAGGUUCGUCUUUUUGUUUUUUCUCCGUGGAGUCGAACCAGAGACCUUUUCUGCCCAUAGUCCACCGCCUCUCCCCAAAACCAAGAAAAGCUAAAAAUCUUGACCAGUGAAUCAAGUCACUUACGGGAAGACAGGGGGGUUGAUGGCGGUCUUGAUGACUCCAGCGUAAACAGACAGGAUGGAGAGGAUGACACAGGCCAGGAAGACCAGUGCCAACUUGUUCACAUAUUUCACCCCGACAAACACCACCAGCGACAUGAAGCUCAGGACGAUGGUGCCGUACACCCGCAUGUUGUUGAGGAGUGCCGCCUCCGCCUCCGCCCCCUCCAGACCCUCAAUCUGGAAGAUGGCUGCCUGAGGAAUGAUAUAAAUCUGAGAGGAUGGAAGAUGGAGGGAUGAAGGUGGAAGGAGGAGAUGUAGAGGGAAAAAGACGAGAUGGU